rnacentral:rRNA from 1 species
GAAGGAGGGAAGGGGCAACGGUGGGUCAGUAUGCCCCAAAUGUGCUGGGCUACCCCCGGGCUACAAUGGCCGGGCCAAUGGGUUCCUACCUCGAAAGAGGAUGGUAAUCUCAAAAACCCGGUCGUAUUUCGGAUUGAGGGCUGAAACUCCCCCUCAUGAACCUGGAUUCGGUAUUAAUCGCGUCUCAAAAGGGCGCGGUGAAUACCUCCCUGCUCCUUGCACAACCUCUUACCCCUCGCAACACCUU